rnacentral:tRNA from 1 species
GCCUGUGUAGCUCAGUUGGUUAGAGCGCUGCACCGGAAUCGCAGGGUCGUAGGUUCAAUUCCUACCAGAGGAC